rnacentral:rRNA from 1 species
CAGCAGCCACGGUAAUACGAAGGGGGCUAGCGUUGUUCGGAUUUACUGGGCGUAAAGCGCACGUAGGCGGACUUUUAAGUCAGGGGUGAAAUCCCGGGGCUCAACCCCGGAACUGCCUUUGAUACUGGAAGUCUUGAGUAUGGUAGAGGUGAGUGGAAUUCCGAGUGUAGAGGUGAAAUUCGUAGAUAUUCGGAGGAACACCAGUGGCGAAGGCGGCUCACUGGACCAUUGCUGACGCUGAGGUGCGAAAGCGUGGGGAGCAAACAGGAUUAGAUACCCGUGUAGUCCCUGUCUCUUAUAC